rnacentral:rRNA from 1 species
AGAGUUUGAUCCUGGCUCAGGAUGAACGCUGGCGGCGCGCCUAACACAUGCAAGUCGAACGGCACCCCUCCUCGGAGGGAAGCGAGUGGCGAACGGCUGAGUAACACGUGGAGAACCUGCCCCCUCCCCCGGGAUAGCCGCCCGAAAGGACGGGUAAUACCGGAUACCCCGGGGUGCCGCAUGGCACCCCGGCUAAAGCCCCGACGGGAGGGGAUGGCUCCGCGGCCCAUCAGGUAGACGGCGGGGUGACGGCCCACCGUGCCGACAACGGGUAGCCGGGUUGAGAGACCGACCGGCCAGAUUGGGACUGAGACACGGCCCAGACUCCUACGGGAGGCAGCAGUGGGGAAUCUUGCGCAAUGGGGGGAACCCUGACGCAGCGACGCCGCGUGCGGGACGGAGGCCUUCGGGUCGUAAACCGCUUUCAGCAGGGAAGAGUCAAGACUGUACCUGCAGAAGAAGCCCCGGCUAACUACGUGCCAGCAGCCGCGGUAAUACGUAGGGGGCGAGCGUUAUCCGGAUUCAUUGGGCGUAAAGCGCGCGUAGGCGGCCCGGCAGGCCGGGGGUCGAAGCGGGGGGCUCAACCCCCCGAAGCCCCCGGAACCUCCGCGGCUUGGGUCCGGUAGGGGAGGGUGGAACACCCGGUGUAGCGGUGGAAUGCGCAGAUAUCGGGUGGAACACCGGUGGCGAAGGCGGCCCUCUGGGCCGAGACCGACGCUGAGGCGCGAAAGCUGGGGGAGCGAACAGGAUUAGAUACCCUGGUAGUCCCAGCCGUAAACGAUGGACGCUAGGUGUGGGGGGAUUGUCCCUCCGUGCCGCAGCCAACGCAUUAAGCGUCCCGCC